CCCCCGGCGCGCGGGGUGACGCGACCCUUCGGCUGCCAUGGCCCGGCCUGCGGCGUCCGGCCGCGCCCCGGGGCGGCAGCGAAGCUCCGCGGGGGGCGGGAGGCCCCUCGGCCGGGCCGGGGACCUCGGCCUGCUCCGCCACAGCGGCCAGCCUGGACGGGGAGGCCGAGGGAGCUCGGUCCGGACGCCGGCCCCAGGGUCGGGGUGCGGGGUGGAGGGAGGCGCCGGGGCCCCGCUGGGGAGCCAGCGCGGGUGUCGGGGUGCGCACACCUCGAGCGAGGCUUGUCCUCUCGGAGCGCGUUGUGUUACCCCCUUUUCCGCAGGGAUUCCGCCGAAAAUGAGCGCUGUGCAGCCCCCGGCGACUGGAGCAGGCGUGCGACCGUGAUCUCCUGCUCCUCGGCGAUGCCACCCUUCCGAUGGACCUCGGUUUGCGGAUCCAGCUGCGUUACAGGCAGGUUUCUGAGGACGGCCCAGGUGCAGCCUGCAGAGAGAGGCGUAGGAAAUCACUGUGACGGCCUUGAGGUAGGAGGCGAGCAGCCUCUGGAGCCCGGAGCCUCGGAAGGAGGAGGGGCUGAUAGACGUGGGUCACUCCAGGGCCCCUGCCACCUCGUACUCUGGGUGGAAGGUGAGUUUACUGGAAGAUUUGUGUGCGUGCUGGAUCACAAUCUGCUCAUUUCUUUUCUGCCUGCUUCUGUAGACCUGAAAAGUAAUUGUUCUGGCUGAGGACCUUCCAUGUUUCUUUGGUUUAACCAUGUAAUUUUUGAACGUUGAGCUGCUCAAGACCCAGUUUUGUAUAAAUAAAAGGGGCGAGACCCCAAGGAGACUUCUCA
rnacentral:lncRNA from 1 species